rnacentral:tmRNA from 1 species
GGGGGCGACAGGUUUCGACGGGGAUCAGUGAGGUCCAGGCUGCGUCUCGAGGUUUCUCUCCCCUCGUUAAAAAGAGAGAACGGUAUAGCUGCCGACACUCAGCUAGCCCUGGCGGCCUAACAACCGCUAGCGUCGGCCAGAUCCGGUCACCGGGGUCUGGGAACCGGCGUCAUAUACCGGUGGCUGGCUCCGAACCUGGCCUCAGGGGACGAGCGAGAUUGAUGAGGCUGGUCUCGCGGUUCUCCUGCCGGAUGGAGGGCCGAGGGACGAGAGCGCAGCAAGAUAAACCGGCUAUCGGCGUAGACGCCUGGUGCUGAGGGUCUUCGGACGUGGGUUCGAUUCCCACCGCCUCCACCA